rnacentral:rRNA from 1 species
GACGGAGGAUGCAAGUGUUAUCCGGAAUCACUGGGCGUAAAGCGUCUGUAGGUGGUCAAAUAAGUCAACUGUUAAAUCUUGAGGCUCAACCUCAAAAUCGCAGUCGAAACUAUUCGACUAGAGUAUAGUAGGGGUAAAGGGAAUUUCCAGUGGAGCGGUGAAAUGCGUAGAGAUUGGAAAGAACACCGAUGGCGAAGGCACUUUACUGGGCUAUUACUAACACUGAGAGAAGAAAGCUAGGGUAGCAAAUGGG